UGGCAUGGCCACAACCAGUGCAGACUGGCGUGCCCCAGACAUCUCUGGGCUAGUAUCUCUUUGAGCACCUCACUCUGAAGCAUGACUAGGAGGCCCCUUGCUUU
rnacentral:pre_miRNA from 14 species